rnacentral:sRNA from 1 species
CCGUAACCAUUUUGGUUCAAG